AUGGGAAAUGUUAUUAAUCGCCUAAUUUUCAGAACUCAUUUUGGAGGUGGCAAAUCAACUGGUUUUGGUUUGAUAUAUGAUUCUGUUGAGAAUGCUAAGAAGUAUGAACCAAAAUACAGACUUAUCAGGAAUGGGUUUGAUACCAAGGUUGAGAAGUCAAGGAAGCAAACGAAGGAAAGAAAGAACAGGGCCAAGAAGAUUCGCGGAAUUAAGAAGACCAAGGCUGGCGAUGCUGCCAAGGCUGGAAAGAAGAAAUCAGCUUUCAGAUAUUUUGUUAUGAAAUUAAAAUUAUUUUGCUGUUGGUAUUUCUUGAGGCUAUUUCAUAGUCUUAUAGCUUUCUAG